CUUCUCACAGCUGCUCUUUGAAUGAGCCGAAAUCUAUAAAUAACUCCAUCUCCAGACCCAUUAAGCAGUACAUUAGUGCAACAAAGGCAUAUAUGCACAGUACUAGAAAAGUGAAGUCACUGGAAGAAAAGAGAAGUUUCAAGCUGGCAUGCACCACAGAGGACAUAAAGCAGAUCUGGUCAUUUCUCAAACACGAAAUUCCAUUAUGGGUCUGUGAUUACAUCGUCCAUUUUUCUACUUUGUCUAGCAGCCAAUUUUAAGCUAUAAAUCAUCUUCCUUCCAUCUUAAGGAGAGAAUCGUUGGUUACUGAAUGGAUACGGUUUUACUCAUGACAUGUCUGACUUCAAAGAACUUGAGACACAAGAGAGCGAGCGAGUGAGAAUGGGGAAAGGAGGGCAAGGGAGUGAAAGAAGGUCUCCUUCUGAAACCAUGCAAUCAAACAAAAAAUGACUAAAUUCUUCAAAGAGACAACUCAACCAGCAUGGACAAGUAUAGUACAAAAGGUUUUCUGGAAAGAGCGAUAUUAUGCUUGAAGACUGCUUGUGAAAUAGGUAGUGCUCCAACACGUUCCCCUUGUUAGUGGAUCAACUGCAGACACAUUCAACCGUCACACGUUGCUGCUUUCUACCUUCCAAAAUACACCUCCCACAGGAAAAGCUGUCAUUGGUUGACUCUGCUGUUCUACCAAGGAGACAAAAAUAAACAGAACGGUGUAACUACAUAAGCUAUGGACUGCUGAGAAGGAACCAGGGAGAUCAGAGGAAAGAGCCCCCUUGCAAGAGGGAAGGUUGCCUCUGGAACAUGACUUCAGGUGGACUCCCGGCUUCAAAGACUCAGCCAUCAACCUCGGCCAAUUCUAUAAACUCAGUGUGCAGCCAAAAAUCCUGACUACUUUUUAUUCUUGCACAGUAUAGAAAGGCAUUAUUGGUCACAAGCUUCCCUUUUUGGCUACACUGAUAUACAAAAAGAAAUUUCUAGAAAUAUUAUUACCUUCUUAAAUAAAGAAAAAG